UACGGAGGGGGCUAGCGUUGUUCGGAAUUACUGGGCGUAAAGCGCACGUAGGCGGCUUGGUAAGUUAGAGGUGAAAGCCUGGAGCUCAACUCCAGAAUUGCCUUUAAGACUGCCGAGCUAGCAGGUGAGAGAGGUGAGUGGAAUUCCGAGUGUAGAGGUGAAAUUCGUAGAUAUUCGGAAGAACACCAGUGGCGAAGGCGACUGACUGGACAAGUAUUGACGCUGAGGUGCGAAAGCGUGGGGAGCAAGCAGG
rnacentral:rRNA from 1 species